rnacentral:rRNA from 1 species
GAACGGUAACGCGGGGCAACCUGGCGACGAGUGGCGAACGGGUGAGUAACGCAUCGGAACGUGCCCAGUAGUGGGGGAUAGCCCGGCGAAAGCCGGAUUAAUACCGCAUACGACCUCAGGGUGAAAGCGGGGGAUCGCAAGACCUCGCGCUAUUGGAGCGGCCGAUGUCAGAUUAGGUAGUUGGUGGGGUAAAAGCCUACCAAGUCUGCGAUCUGUAGCUGGUCUGAGAGGGCGACCAGCCACACUGGGACUGAGACACGGCCCAGACUCCUACGGGAGGCAGCAGUGGGGAAUUUUGGACAAUGGGCGAAAGCCUGAUCCAGCCAUGCCGCGUGCGGGAAGAAGGCCUUCGGGUUGUAAACCGCUUUUGUCGGGGAAGAAACGUCGCGACCUAAUACGUCGCGGUAAUGACGGUACCUGAAGAAUAAGCACCGGCUAACUACGUGCCAGCAGCCGCGGUAAUACGUAGGGUGCAAGCGUUAAUCGGAAUUACUGGGCGUAAAGCGUGCGCAGGCGGUCAUGCAAGACAGAUGUGAAAUCCCCGAGCUCAACUUGGGAACUGCAUUUGUGACUGCAUGGCUUGAGUACGGCAGAGGGGGGUGGAAUUCCACGUGUAGCAGUGAAAUGCGUAGAGAUGUGGAGGAACACCAAUGGCGAAGGCAGCCCCCUGGGUCGAUACUGACGCUCAUGCACGAAAGCGUGGGUAGCAAACAGGAUUAGAUACCCUGGUAGUCCACGCCCUAAACGAUGUCAACUAGGUGUUGGGUGGGUAAAACCAUUUAGUACCGUAGCUAACGCGUGAAGUUGACCGCCUGGGGAGUACGGCCGCAAGGUUAAAACUCAAAGGAAUUGACGGGGACCCGCACAAGCGGUGGAUGAUGUGGAUUAAUUCGAUGCAACGCGAAAAACCUUACCUACCCUUGACAUGUCUGGAAUCCCGAAGAGAUUUGGGAGUGCCCGAAAGGGAGCCGGAACACAGGUGCUGCAUGGCUGUCGUCAGCUCGUGUCGUGAGAUGUUGGGUUAAGUCCCGCAACGAGCGCAACCCUUGUCGUUAAUUGCCAUCAUUUAGUUGGGCACUUUAACGAGACUGCCGGUGACAAACCGGAGGAAGGUGGGGAUGACGUCAAGUCCUCAUGGCCCUUAUGGGUAGGGCUUCACACGUCAUACAAUGGUCGGUACAGAGGGUUGCCAAGCCGCGAGGUGGAGCCAAUCCCAGAAAGCCGAUC